GACUGAUGUAAAGAAAAGCACAUGAAUCUGACCUUUGGAAAAUUUCGGAAAGGCCUGUGCUUCUGUUUCCCCACCAUGCCUUUACUCUUCCCCGAAGACUUCUUGCCAACGCAGAUGCUCGUAUAACUAAGCGCUGAUAUUUAGAUGUCUUCAUCUCGGUCAAUAAAGUGGAAUGUAAAAUA